CAAAAGCGGAGGAAAAGAAACCAACAGGGAUUGCCUUAGUAGCGGCGAGUGAAGCGGCAAAAGCUCAAAUUUGAAAUCUGGCUCUUUCAGAGUCCGAGUUGUAAUUUGAAGAAGGUAUCUUUGGGUCUGGCUCUUGUCUAUGUUUCUUGGAACAGAACGUCACAGAGGGUGAGAAUCCCGUGCGAUGAGAUGAUCCAGGCCUAUGUAAAGUUCCUUCGAAGAGUCGAGUUGUUUGGGAAUGCAGCUCUAAGUGGGUGGUAAAUUCCAUCUAAAGCUAAAUAUUGGCGAGAGACCGAUAGCGAACAAGUACAGUGAUGGAAAGAUGAAAAGAACUUUGAAAAGAGAGUGAAAAAGUACGUGAAAUUGUUGAAAGGGAAGGGCUUGAGAUCAGACUUGGUAUUUUGUAUGUUACUUCUUCGGGGGUGGCCUCUACAGUUUAUCGGGCCAGCAUCAGUUUGGGCGGUAGGAGAAUUGCGUUGGAAUGUGGCACGGCUUCGGUUGUGUGUUAUAGCCUUCGUCGAUACUGCCAGCCUAGACUGAGGACUGCGGUUUAUACCUAGGAUGUGCA
rnacentral:rRNA from 1 species